rnacentral:sRNA from 1 species
GUUAUCUUAAUACCGUCAAACCUGGUCAGCUGUUAACGGCUGUUCGCAUGAGACCAUCUUUUUAAAUCCGCCUUGCCCUUUCAGAAAGCAGUAAACCUACUCAACAUAAUAAAUGACAAGAAAAUUGCAAUAGCGCACAAGUCGAAAGAGACAUUGAAAGAACCUUUUUUCCCGCAGAAAAACAAACAAACUGCAAGCGAACAACGUGGUGUAUGAACUGACAUGCUCCGACAGCGAAGAAGAAAUGUGCGUGUGCGACUUACAGAACAUGAAGCAGACAUAAAGAAAAGAGACAACAACAUAUCAAAGAAACUGGCCACACUGUAGAUUUUGAGAACCUUAGAAUAGUGGAUAAAGAGAAAAGAGAGAGCAAACGCUACACACUCGAGUCUAAGAAUACAGCAGAGCAUAGACAAAAGCAUCAAUACAAAGGAGGAUAAAGACAAUACGAAAUUACGCUCUUCAAAAGGCAUAGCCUAAACAGUAAAGUUCAAUAGUUCUGUGAUAUUAGCAUAUAAGUUUAAAGCACUGCGAUUUUGUAUUUAUUCAUUAUUUCUAUUGAAAUUAUUAUUUUUGAAUUGUGUCGUGGUGUCCAGUUUUAGGAAAUUACUGUGAUAUAUGAAACCCAAAAUAUUCAUGAAAUAUAGUAUCUCCUAAUGAGGUUGGAAUAAAACCACAAAAACGUUGAGAAGACUACGAUGAAAUAACUUUGUUUUAUUGAAUCAGCCCAUAAGAAUAACUCUAGCAUAUUAAGUUUUAUUUAACCAAAAUGUGCGUUUCAGAAGUGUUUCGAGGAUUGAAAAAAAGGAAAAAUUGGAAAAAUAUCUGAGGAUUACUUAGAAAGGAAUAAGAUGAAUGUAUAAAUAAAUACUUUUUAAAAGAAUUAAAAA